rnacentral:misc_RNA from 1 species
UAAUAAGUGUUUUAUGGCACUUUUUAAAUCCAUAUCCACCUUGUGUGCAAUGUCAGUCGAUCUUCUUUAUGGAGAUUGGACCAAACAUCAACCAUAUCUUUUAACUCUUUGUCUGAAAAAUAUUAUGAAUAAACAAUUCAAAAUA